CCUACGGGAGGCAGCAGUGAGGAAUCUUGGUCAAUGGGCGCGAGCCUGAACCAGCCAAGUAGCGUGAAGGAUGACUGCCCUACGGGCUGUAAACUUCUUUUAUAAAGGAAUAAAGUGAGGCACGUGUGUCUUUUUGUAUGUACUUUAUGAAUAAGGAUAGGCUAAGUCCGUGCCAGCAGCCGCGGUAAUACGGAGGAUCCGAGCGUUAUCCGGAUUUAUUGGGUUUAAAGGAAGCGUAGAUGGGUUGUUAAGUUAGUUGUGAAAGUUUGCGGCUCAACCGUAAAAUUGCAAUGGAUAAUGGCAGACUUGAGUGCAGUUGAGGUAGGCGGAAUUCCAGGUGUAGCGGUGAAAUGCGUAGAUAGCACGAAGAACUCCGAUUGCGAAGGCAGCUUACUAAACUGCCACUGACAUUGAUGCUCGAAAGUGUGGGUAUCAAACAGGAUUAGAUACCCCUGUAGUC
rnacentral:rRNA from 1 species